rnacentral:rRNA from 1 species
UACGAAGGGGGCUAACGUUGUUCGGAUUUACUGGGCGUAAAGCGCGUUCAGGCGGUUUGGCAAGUCGGGCAUGAAAUCUCUCGGCUCAACCGGGAGAGGUUGUCCGAUACUGCUGGACUUGAGGGCAGUAGAGGGUGGUGGAAUUCCGGGUGUAGUGGUGAAAUGCGUAGAUAUCCGGAGGAACACCAGUGGCGAAAGCGGCCACCUGGACUGCACCUGACGCUGACACGCGAAAGCUAGGGGAGCGAACGGG